rnacentral:rRNA from 1 species
CUCCCAAACCCAAUGUGAACGUUACCAAACUGUUGCCUCGGCGGGAUCUCUGCCCCGGGUGCGUCGCAGCCCCGGACCAAGGCGCCCGCCGGAGGACCAACCAAAACUCUUAUUGUAUACCCCCUCGCGGGUUUUUUUAUAAUCUGAGCCUUCUCGGCGCCCCUCGUGGGCGUUUCGAAAAUGAAUCAAAACUUUCAACAACGGAUCUCUUGGUUCUGGCAUCGAUGAAGAACGCAGCGAAAUGCGAUAAGUAAUGUGAAUUGCAGAAUUCAGUGAAUCAUCGAAUCUUUGAACGCACAUUGCGCCCGCCAGUAUUCUGGCGGGCAUGCCUGUCCGAGCGUCAUUUCAACCCUCGAACCCCUCCGGGGGGUCGGCGUUGGGGAUCGGCCCUCCCUCUGCGGGGGCCGUCUCCGAAAUACAGUGGCGGUCUCGCCGCAGCCUCUCCUGCGCAGUAGUUUGCACACUCGCACCGGGAGCGCGGCGCGUCCACAGCCGUUAAACACCCCAACUUUCUGAAAUGUUGACCUCGGAUCAGGUAGGAAUACCCGCUGAACUUAAGCAUAUCAAUAAGCGGAGGA